rnacentral:rRNA from 1 species
UACGAAGGGGGCUAGCGUUGCUCGGAAUCACUGGGCGUAAAGGGUGCGUAGGCGGGUCUUUAAGUCAGGGGUGAAAUCCUGGAGCUCAACUCCAGAACUGCCUUUGAUACUGAAGAUCUUGAGUGCGGGAGAGGUGAGUGGAACUGCGAGUGUAGAGGUGAAAUUCGUAGAUAUUCGCAAGAACACCAGUGGCGAAGGCGGCUCACUGGCCCGGUACUGACGCUGAGAUACGAAAGCGUGGGGAGCAAACAGG